AGUGCUUCGGGGGUUUCUCCGUUCAGUGCGCGGUUCGGCGGCGGGAAGCGUGCAGUGCUCUUCCGCACUCCGCAACGCAUUCCCGCGUUUUGCACCGCGACACAGGAAUAGCGCGCCGCGUUCGUUGAGGUUUCAUCGGAAAUUGUUCUGCCGAACUCUCUCGCGCACAUUGUUGCAUCGUGCGUCGAUCAUCGUAUCUAAUUAAUUCGGGGAUUUCUGCAAAGACGAAAAGUCGGAUCCAUUGAGACCGGUUUGUGAUCAGGGGCCUACGGAGCUCGCCGUCGUCUGCUGCUCUCUGCUCGUCGUCAGAGCCUCCGACUGAGUGGUUCCUCCUUCCGGGGCCGUUUUUCUUCUUAAAUCUAUAUAUUUUUUUGAGAGCGCAACCGUCUUCAGGAGUGCUUCGUCUGCUGCUGGUCGGAUAGCUUACCGGCGCUGCACUGCAAUCUGGCGCAUCCUACCAGGUGGGCCCAUCCUGAAAACGAACUGAUACCACGGAUACGCUCUACAAGGCGGCUUUUCGCCAUUCCUGUCAAGAAGACUGUGGACGUGCCUGCUGAGUGUCCCCUCCAUCGAAGCCAUGACAAAGCGAUGCCCCGUGGAAGGGCAGCCCUAAUGAAGUCUCAUCUUGAGGGGCAACCGCUUG